rnacentral:rRNA from 1 species
GCAAGUCGAGCGAUCUCUCGGAGAAGAGCGGCGGACGGGUGAGUAACGCGUGGGUAACCUGCCUCAUACACAUGGAUAACAUACCGAAAGGUAUGCUAAUACAGGAUAACAUAAGAGAUUCACAUGGAUUUCUUAUCAAAGCUCCGGCGGUAUGAGAUGGACCCGCGUCUGAUUAGCUAGUUGGUAAGGUAACGGCUUACCAAGGCGACGAUCAGUAGCCGACCUGAGAGGGUGAUCGGCCACAUUGGAACUGAGACACGGUCCAAACUCCUACGGGAGGCAGCAGUGGGGAAUAUUGCACAAUGGGCGAAAGCCUGAUUGCAGCAACGCCGCGUGAGUGAUGAAGGCCUUCGGGUCGUAAAACUCUGUCCUCAAGGAAGAUAAUGACGGUACUUGAGGAGGAAGCCCCGGCUAACUACGUGCCAGCAGCCGC